CAGCCGCCACGGGAAUACGAAGGGGGCGAGCGUUGCUCGGAAUGACUGGGCGUAAAGGGCGCGUAGGUGGUACGGACAGUCAGAUGUGAAAUUCCCGGGCUCAACCUGGGGGCUGCAUUUGAUACGUCCGAACUAGAGUGUGGAAGGGGGUCGUGGAAUUCCCAGUGUAGAGGUGAAAUUCGUAGAUAUUGGGAAGAACACCGGUGGCGAAGGCGGCGACCUGGUCCAUUACUGACGCUGAGGCGCGAAAGCGUGGGGAGCAAACAGGAUUAGAUACCCGCGUAGUCCCUGUCUCUUAUAC
rnacentral:rRNA from 1 species